UCCCGCGCGUAUCCGGGUCACGAUACGCUUCCUCCCUGUUGGACUGGCCCGGGUUUAUCCCGGGCCUUUUUU
rnacentral:ncRNA from 1 species